UACGAAGGGGGCUAGCGUUGCUCGGAAUCACUGGGCGUAAGCGCACGUAGGCGGCUUCUUAAGUCAGGGGUGAAAUCCUGGAGCUCAACUCCAGAACUGCCUUUGAUACUGAGAAGCUUGAGUCCGGGAGAGGUGAGUGGAACUGCGAGUGUAGAGGUGAAAUUCGUAGAUAUUCGCAAGAACACCAGUGGCGAAGGCGGCUCACUGGCCCGGUACUGACGCUGAGGUGCGAAAGCGUGGGGAGCAAACAGG
rnacentral:rRNA from 1 species